rnacentral:rRNA from 1 species
AUUGAACGCUGGCGGCAGGCCUAACACAUGCAAGUCGAGCGGAUGAAGAGAGCUUGCUCUCUGAUUUAGCGGCGGACGGGUGAGUAACGCGUGGGAACAUACCCCAAAGUGAGGGAUAACCGCCCGAAAGGGUGGCUAAUACCGCAUAUGAUCUUCGGAUUAAAGGAUUUAUCCGCUUUGGGAAUGGCCUGCGUACGAUUAGAUAGUUGGUGAGGUAAAGGCUCACCAAGUCGACGAUCGUUAACUGGUCUGAGAGGAUGAUCAGUCAGACUGGAACUGAGACACGGUCCAGACUCCUACGGGAGGCAGCAGUGAGGAAUCUUCCACAAUGGGCGAAAGCCUGAUGGAGCAACGCCGCGUGCAGGAUGAAGGCCUUCGGGUCGUAAACUGCUUUUAUAAGUGAAGAAUAUGACGGUAACUUAUGAAUAAGCACCGGCUAACUACGUGCCAGCCGCCGCCGUAAGAC